UAUCAAAAAUUUCUCACAUUU
rnacentral:piRNA from 1 species